rnacentral:rRNA from 1 species
CCUACGGGUGGCUGCAGUGAGGAAUAUUGGUCAAUGGAGGCAACUCUGAACCAGCCAUGCCGCGUGCAGGAUGAAUGCCCUAUGGGUUGUAAACUGCUUUUAUUUGGGAAUAAACCCUCUUACGUGUAAGAGGCUGAAGGUACCAAAGGAAUAAGGACCGGCUAACUCCGUGCCAGCAGCCGCGGUAAUACGGAGGGUCCGAGCGUUAUCCGGAAUCAUUGGGUUUAAAGGGUGCGCAGGCGGUAAAGUAAGUCAGUGGUGAAAUCCCUUCGCUCAACGAAGGAACUGCCAUUGAUACUGCUAUACUUGAAUAUAGUCGAAGUGGGCGGAAUGUGACAUGUAGCGGUGAAAUGCUUAGAUAUGUCACAGAACACCGAUAGCGAAGGCAGCUCACUAGACUAAAAUUGACGCUCAUGCACGAAAGCGUGGGGAGCGAACAG